UGUUGUUGGACAGAAAGACAUCAACUCAGUGACUUGAGAUAUGACUGCACUGUGCUGUUGCUGGUGACUCCAGUUAAUUCUACAAGACAUGCUGUGACACCAGGAGAGAUGAGUCCUCCGUCACAGAUGGUGUGGUCAGUGAAGAUGGUCGCCUGCAGGUUCAAGCUCAUUGCAUCUCCAACCCACAUCCACUGCCACUGUACUGAAGGGAAGUUAAAGACUUUCUU